CACGUAGUUAGCCGGUGCUUAUUCUUACGGUACCGUCAUGACCCGGGGAUAUUAGCCCCAGGCUUUUCGUUCCGUACAAAAGCAGUUUACAACCCGAGGGCCUUCAUCCUGCACGCGGCAUUGCUGGAUCAGGCUUUCGCCCAUUGUCCAAAAUUCCCCACUGCUGCCUCCCGUAGGAGUCUGGGCCGUGUCUCAGUCCCAGUGUGGCUGGUCGUCCUCUCAGACCAGCUACAGAUCGCAGGCUUGGUAAGCCUUUACCCCACCAACUACCUAAUCUGCCAUCAGCCGCUCUAGUAGCACAAGGCCCGAAGGUCCCCUGCUUUCAUCCGUAGAUCUCAUGCGGUAUUAGCUACUCUUUCGAGUAGUUAUCCCCCACUACUAGGCACGUUCCGAUGUAUUACUCACCCGUUCGCCACUCGUCAGCAUCCGAAGACCUGUUACCGUUCGACUUGCAUGUGUAAAGCAUGCCGCCAGCGUUCAAUCUGAGCCAGGAUCAAACU
rnacentral:rRNA from 1 species